UACGGAGGGUGCGAGCGUUAAUCGGAAUUACUGGGCGUAAAGAGCGCGCAGGUGGUUGAUUAAGUCUGAUGUGAAAGCCCACGGCUUAACCGUGGAGGGUCAUUGGAAACUGGUCGACUUGAGUGCAGAAGAGGGAAGUGGAAUUCCAUGUGUAGCGGUGAAAUGCGUAGAGAUAUGGAGGAACACCAGUGGCGAAGGCGGCUUCCUGGUCUGUAACUGACACUGAGGCGCGAAAGCGUGGGGAGCAAACAGGAUUAGAUA
rnacentral:rRNA from 1 species